rnacentral:rRNA from 1 species
GAGUUUGAUCCUGGCUCAGGAUGAACGCUAGCGGCAGGCCUAAUACAUGCAAGUCGAGGGGCAGCACAGGUAGCAAUACUGGGUGGCGACCGGCAAACGGGUGCGGAACACGUACACAACCUUCCUUUUAGUGGAGCAUAGCCCAGGGAAACUUGGAUUAAUACUCCGUAACAUAACGAUAUGGCAUCAUGUUGUUAUUAUAGAAGCGAUUCGCUAGAAGACGGGUGUGCGGCUGAUUAGAUAGUUGGCGGGGUAACGGCCCACCAAGUCCACGAUCAGUAACUGGUGUGAGAGCACGACCAGUCACACGGGCACUGAGACACGGGCCCGACUCCUACGGGAGGCAGCAGUAAGGAAUAUUGGUCAAUGGACGCAAGUCUGAACCAGCCAUGCCGCGUGGAGGAUGAAGGCCCUCUGGGUUGUAAACUUCUUUUAUAGGGGACGAAAAAGGGUCUUUCCAGAUCAACUGACGGUACCCUAGGAAUAAGCACCGGCUAACUCCGUG